AAUUAAAUGACGGCAAAUUGUAACGAAUUCGCAUAACAAAAUAAAACAACCAUCAAGAAAAAUUAAAAAAAAAGAAUAAAAAAAUCUAAAUUACAUACAUUUGGAUUUGCAUAAAACACAUCAACUACAACAAAUACAACAGAAUGGAUAAAUCUGA